GGGUCUCUCCAACCCUCGAGCUCCUGCAGCACUCUGGACGCUGCCCUGCAUUUGGGAGAAUCCAGCCCAAACCACACUCGUUUUGUGAGCACAGGUUUCUCAGCCCUCUGUGUUUCCUCUUCUCAAGGUGACCCGUGGCAUCCAAGGGUUAUCAGUUCACUGUGCUCCUCUGUGGUGAGGGAAGAAGACACACUCGGCUGGUGGGCUGGUGUGGAGCGGAUGCUGCCUGUGACCUUGAGCUGGGCCCUAGAUCCAAGGAAAUGGGCUCCACGUCUAUGGGGUGUUGUGAGGUUUGGUAGCACAACUCAAACUGGAAGAAUCACAUGCGCUCGCAGGUUGAGGAGCUCGCUGGUGCAGGACCCUCACAAGCACAGCCGACACCUUUAGUGUCGGUCGCCGUGUGAGAUUGCUUUGCUCUCAACUGCUGAUCGUAAACACUGCCCUGCUAAAGGAAACUCAGAGUCACGAUGCACAACUCCUAGGUGUUGACUUGGCCGUUAACUGAGCUCCAUCAGGCACCAGACUCAGGAAAUGCGAGUGGCUCCCAGGAGAAGGCUCUGCCGGGCUGCACGGUAACGUGGCCUGACAGCCGCGGGUUAGUUCCCGAGGAAGUCUUGGCCCGACGCUGGUUUCAUUUUUGAUCCAAGGAAGAGUUAAAGUUCAUCAUGGAGGAAAAUAUUUUUCACACAAAAAUGAAGAAUUCGUAAUCAUCUAGGCCAGAAUAAUGACUUUAAUUACCUUCCAAACAGUUAUAGACAAUUACAUUAACACUCCAAUCAGCGGGAACACCAAGUCCUCCGCCAGGGCGGGCGGGCGCGCGCGUCUCUGGUGGGGACACCAGGACUGAGGCUCCGGACGCGCGUCCCUCCCUCCGCGCCCUUUUGCCCUGCUGGCAGCUACUGUACCUCAUGAUUUAAACAUGGACAUUUCUAAUUAAAUGAGAGCUCAGCUGCACUCUUGAACUAAUUUAUAACAUUUGAUUUGAAAUGUAAUAGCUUCAAUCUCCAUCUGAUUAAAAACAGUCAUGUACUGUACAC